rnacentral:rRNA from 1 species
GACGAACGCUGGCGGCGUGCUUAACACAUGCAAGUCGAACGAAGUGGCGAACGGGUGAGUAAUACGUAGUUAACCUGCCCUACUUUUUGGGAUAAGCCUUGGGAACGGGGUGUAAUAACGACUACAGGGGGAUGGGUUCGCGGCCUAUGAGCUUGGUGGUGGGGUGAUGGCCUAUCAAGGCGGUGACGGGCAGCCGGCCUGAGAGGGUAAACGGCGACAUAGGGACGGAGAAACGGCCCAGGCUCCGACGGGAGGCAGCAUUGGGGGAAAUUGCAGAAUGGGCGAAAGCGUAAUGCAGCGACGCCGCGGAAGGGAUUAAGGCUGUCGAGUUCUAAUGCUAGUUCACAAUCGAACCGGUAGGUGGCGAAGAAGCGCCGGCUAACUACGUGCCAGCAGCCGCGGUAAUAC